AUUGAACGCUGGCGGAAUGCUUUACACAUGCAAGUCGAACGGCAGCACGGACUUCGGUCUGGUGGCGAGUGGCGAACGGGUGAGUAAUGUAUCGGAACGUGCCCAGUCGUGGGGGAUAACGUAGUGAAAAUUACGCUAAUACCGCAUACGAUCUAUGGAUGAAAGCGGGGGAUCGCAAGACCUCGCGCGAUUGGAGCGGCCGAUAUCAGAUUAGGUAGUUGGUGGGGUAAAGGCCCACCAAGCCAACGAUCUGUAGCUGGUCUGAGAGGACGACGAGCCAGACUGGAACUGAGACACGGUCCAGACUCCUACGGGAGGCAGCAGUGGGGAAUUUUGGACAAUGGGCGAAAGCCUGAUCCAGCCAUUCCGCGUGCAGGAUGAAGGCCCUCGGGUUGUAAACUGCUUUUGUACAGAACGAAAAGGUUUCUACUAAUACUAGGAGCUCAUGACGGUACUGUAAGAAUAAGCACCGGCUAACUACGUGCCAGCCGCCGUAACAC
rnacentral:rRNA from 1 species